UAUUAAUCCAGCAGUUGCUGAGAUUGCUAAAAAAAUUGAGGUACUUGAAGAGCAAAGCAGUGAAGGUUCAUUUAGUCCGAGUGGAAGGAUGGACAUUUUAGUGACAGCGAUUGGGAAGCCUGAUCACCCCGGACGCGUUAGAGGAGAAGGGAGGACAGUUGGUCUUACCCAAUAUUUUGGACAAACUUCACGAGCUUCUCUACGAAGUCAACCCACUGAUGAGAUGAUAGCUAAACUUCGAGACCAAGUUCGUGAUGAGCUCCAAUCUGAGCUAGAGGUCAAGAUUGAGGCCCAGUUACGCCAGUCACUUCGAAAAGAGCUUAUGGCUGAGCUUCGUGAUGAGAUGAAAUCUAUGGUCUCUAGCAUGCAAAUUGGGACAGUUCAACAACAAUGCACAUCCUAGGAUUCCCCCGUCUUUCCUAGCACUAAAAACAGUUGUAAUCCACCGG